rnacentral:rRNA from 1 species
UGGAGAGUUUGAUCCUGGCUCAGGACGAACGCUGGCGGCGUGCUUAACACAUGCAAGUCGAACGAUGAAGCCCUUCGGGGUGGAUUAGUGGCGAACGGGUGAGUAACACGUGGGCAAUCUGCCCUUCACUCUGGGACAAGCCCUGGAAACGGGGUCUAAUACCGGAUAACACCGGCUUCCGCAUGGGAGCUGGUUAAAAGCUCCGGCGGUGAAGGAUGAGCCCGCGGCCUAUCAGCUUGUUGGUGGGGUAAUGGCCUACCAAGGCGACGACGGGUAGCCGGCCUGAGAGGGCGACCGGCCACACUGGGACUGAGACACGGCCCAGACUCCUACGGGAGGCAGCAGUGGGGAAUAUUGCACAAUGGGCGAAAGCCUGAUGCAGCGACGCCGCGUGAGGGAUGACGGCCUUCGGGUUGUAAACCUCUUUCAGCAGGGAAGAAGCGAAAGUGACGGUACCUGCAGAAGAAGCGCCGGCUAACUACGUGCCAGCAGCCGCGGUA